UCGGCGCAUUCUCUAUGCGAUGUAUGAAAACGGCUUUGAGUGGAACAAACCGUACCGCAAAUCGGCACGCACCGUCGGUGACGUGAUCGGUAAAUACCAUCCGCACGGUGACCAGUCGGUCUACGACGCGAUGGUGCGCAUGGCGCAGGAUUUUUCCAUGCGCGUGCCGCUGAUCGACGGGCAGGGCAACUUCGGCUCGGUCGACGGCGAUAUGGCGGCAGCGAUGCGUUACACCGAGUCGCGCCUCGAGAAGGUCGCGCACUCGCUGCUCGAUGACAUCGACAAGGAUACGGUCGA
rnacentral:misc_RNA from 1 species